rnacentral:rRNA from 1 species
GGUAUUUUGACUAUACGAAGGUAUUGAAAUAAGAUUUUAAAUGAGUGCUAAGAGAAUGAUUAAACAAUUAAAAGCUUUCUUUAAUUAAAUAAUUGAAUUUAAUUUUUUUAGUGCAAAAGCAAAAAUAAAAAUUAGGGACAAGAAGACCCUAUGAAUUUUUUAUUAAAUUUUAUAAAACUUUAUAUAAAAUUUAAUUUAAUUGGGGUGAUGGAAAAAGAAUAAAUAUCUUUUUUUAAAGAAAAUUGGUUCCGUUUUUAGCGAUUAAAUGAAAAAAAUACUCUAGGGAUAACAGCGUAAUAAUUUUGGAUAGUUCAUAUAGAUAAAAUAGUUUGCGACCUCGAUGUUGGAUUAGGAUUCUUUUUUGGUGAAGAAGU